GCAGUUGGCCGGCUUGUCGCUGGUGUUUUAAACACGAGAGGAAAGUCCGGGCAACACAGAGCAUCCUACUUCCUAACAGAAAGCCGUCCGCGAGGGCAGAGUAACGCAGAAGAAAACAACCGCCACCCCGUGUGGUAAGGGUGAGAAGGUGGGGUAAGAGCCCACCAGGCUUAUGGCGACAUAAGUGCUGUGCGUCUUAGGAGUUGUAAGGUCAUGUAAACCGGCGCUAUGAGGGUUGCUCGCCCCAUGUCGGAGGGUAGACCGCUAAAGUUGUAUGGUGACAUGCAACGCAGAUAAAUGACAGGCACCUUGCCCUAGGGUAAGGCACAGAACCCGGCUUAUAGGCCAACUGCUUUU
rnacentral:RNase_P_RNA from 1 species